GUAAAGCUUAGCUGGUUAGAGCGUGGGGCUGAUAAUGCCAAGGUUGCAGGUUUGAUUCCCGUAUGGGACAGCUACA
rnacentral:tRNA from 1 species